rnacentral:sRNA from 1 species
GAAUGAAGACCAUUCUCAGCAAUCAGACUGUCGACAUUCCAGAAAAUGGUAUGAGACUUGAUGUCUUUUACUUACAUCUUUACUGCGCGUUCCAAGCGUUGUGUGGCCUGACGAGUGUGUUCUCUCUUCUAGUCGACAUUACUCUGAAGGGACGCACAGUUAUUGUGAAGGGCCCCAGAGGAACCCUGCGGAGGGACUUCAAUCACAUCAAUGUAGAACUCAGUCUUCUUGGAAAGAAAAAAAAGAGGCUCCGGGUUGACAAAUGGUGGGGUAACAGAAAGGAACUGGCUACCGUUCGGACUAUUUGUAGUCAUGUACAGAACAUGAUCAAGGGAGUUACACUGGGCUUCCGUUACAAGAUGAGGUCUGUGUAUGCUCACUUCCCCAUCAACGUCGUUAUCCAGGAGAAUGGGUCUCUUGUUGAAAUCCGAAAUUUCUUGGGUGAAAAAUACAUCCGCAGGGUUCGGAUGAGACCAGGUGUUGCUUGUUCGGUAUCUCAAGCCCAGAAAGAUGAAUUAAUCCUUGAAGGAAAUGACAUUGAGCUUGUUUCAAAUUCAGCGGCUUUGAUUCAGCAAGCCACAACAGUUAAAAACAAGGAUAUCAGGAAAUUUUUGGAUGGUAUCUAUGUCUCUGAAAAAGGAACUGUUCAGCAGGCUGAUGAAUAAGAUCUAAGAGUUAGCCCGGCUACAGAAAGAAGAUGCCAGAUGACACUUAAGACCUACUUGUGAUAUUUAAAUGAUGCAAUAAAAGACCUGUUGAUUUGGACCUUC